GAAGAUCAAACAAACGCAGGUCAUCUCAUGCGCCAAACAUAUAUCUAUUGUUGAAGAGGAUAAUAAAACAGACUGGGCCUCUUAGACGAAAGUGCAGAUCAAACAGAAAUCAUCCAGCUUGAGUACAGGCAAAAAGUGACAAAGCAGGUUUCUAGGUAACAUACAUAUCCAGCAACCAGGUGAACUUAAUUAACUCAAGGUCUAGCGAUAGCUACAUCCUUCUUAGCUCGCAUGGGACUUGUUGAGGAUGACACCCUCAUACUUGACCUGGAACCACUUCAUGGCGUCCUCCUUGGUGACCCUCUGGUGGAUACCGACACGGGCCUUG
rnacentral:lncRNA from 1 species